rnacentral:rRNA from 1 species
GAUGAACGCUAGCGGCAGGCUUAAUACAUGCAAGUCGUGGGGCAGCAUGAAUGUAGCAAUACAUUUGAUGGCGACCGGCAAACGGGUGCGGAACACGUACACAACCUUCCUAUAAGUGGGGAAUAGCCCAGAGAAAUUUGGAUUAAUACCCCGUAACAUAACGAUGUGGCAUCACAUUGUUAUUAUAGCUUCGGCGCUUAUUGAUGGGUGUGCGGCUGAUUAGAUAGUUGGCGGGGUAACGGCCCACCAAGUCUACGAUCAGUAGCUGAUGUGAGAGCAGGAUCAGCCACACGGGCACUGAGACACGGGCCCGACUCCUACGGGAGGCAGCAGUAAGGAAUAUUGGUCAAUGGACGCAAGUCUGAACCAGCCAUGCCGCGUGAAGGAUUAAGGUCCUCUGGAUUGUAAACUUCUUUUAUCUGGGACGAAAAAAGGCUUUUCUAAGUCACUUGACGGUACCAGAUGAAUAAGCACCGGCUAACUCCGUGCCAGCCGCCGCAGUAAAAC